UUCACACAGCUUCUGUAAUUCUGUCUGUGUUUGCUGGAUUUUUCCUAGUUCCCUCACCUCCCGCUGACCGACCUGUACCAGACCGGUGAGGAGGUGUGGGACCAGAACUACGAACUGCCUCAUAAACCCGGCUCAUCCGGACCUGUCCGUCUGUAAUCAGCGACUGACACUCUAUAACCGAAUAGGGUCGGGAGCGGCAGCACAGACUGAAUUCUCGGUGCAUGGUCGGCACAUUUGUCAUCCGGGACAGCACUGAACACCGUCCGGUAUCAACAUCAGAGCAGAGGAUCCGCCCUGUGGACAGGCAGCAGCUUGUACACAGAAAAUCGCGCUGUGAGUCUCACAGAACAGUAACACCGGGCCCUCUCCCAUAGAUAAUAAAUAUCUGUCGCUGCACUGGCUGGAAUGAAGUUAGCAGAAAACCACUUGAAAAUAUAUCGACACGGAGACUGAACAAUCUUCGUGAAUUGAGCAUCAUAUCUGAGGCCGGC